rnacentral:rRNA from 1 species
AUAUUUCACCCUGGGGGGAAGCCUGAUGCGGCAACGCCGCGUGACUGGAUAAAGGCGUCGGGGAGUACCACACUGUCCUCAAGGAAGGGACUGCCCGGCAAUGGGGCGGGAGGCCCGCCUCCCCACAUGCCAGCAGCCGCGGGAAGACAUAGGAGGCGGCCGGCAUACGGAUUCCGCGGGCG